CCUACGGGAGGCAGCAGUGAGGAAUAUUGGUCAAUGGACGCAAGUCUGAACCAGCCAUGCCGCGUGCAGGAAGACGGCUCUAUGAGUUGUAAACUGCUUUUGUACGAGGGUAAACGCAGAUACGCGUAUCUGUCUGAAAGUAGCGUACGAAUAAGGAUCGGCUAACUCCGUGCCAGCAGCCGCGGUAAUACGGAGGAUUCAAGCGUUAUCCGGAUUUAUUGGGUUUAAAGGGUGCGUAGGCGGUCGGAUAAGUUAGAGGUGAAAUCCCGAGGCUCAACUUCGGAAUUGCCUCGGAUACUGUUCGGCUAGAGCGUAGUUGCGUUAGGCGUACUGUCUGUUGUAGCGG
rnacentral:rRNA from 1 species